GAAGGACGUGCUAAUCUGCGAAAAGCGUGGGUGAGUUGAUAAGAAGCGUUUAACCCACGAUGUCCGAAUGGGGAAACCCGAUAGGCGAAGAGCCUAUCAUUGCGAGGUGAAUAAAAUAGCCUCGUAAGGCGAACCGGGAGAACUGAAACAUCUAAGUACCCCGAGGAAAAGAAAUCAACCGAGAUUCUGUGAGUAGCGGCGAGCGAAAGCGGAGUAGCCAGUAAGUGAUAGCAUGUGAUUUAGGAGAAUUAGCUGGGAAGCUAAGCGACACAGGGUGAUAGCCCCGUAUCUGAAAGAUUGCAUGUGGUACUAAGCUUACGAUAAGUAGGGCGGGACACGAGGAAUCCUGUUUGAAGAUGGGGGGACCAUCCUCCAAGGCUAAAUACUCCUGAUUGACCGAUAGUGAACCAGUACUGUGAAGGAAAGGCGAAAAGAACCCCGGUGAGGGGAGUGAAAUAGAACCUGAAACCCUGUACGUACAAGCAGUGGGAGCCCCAUCAUUAAGCCAAAGGCUCGAUGAUGAGUAGCGCACCUUUUGUUGGAAGUGCGGUUGACUUCACGCAGUGAAGUCUAACCCGAGAAAAUCAAACAGAGGGGGCUUAAUGAUGGGGUGACUGCGUACCUUUUGUAUAAUGGGUCAGCGACUUAUAUUUUGUAGCGAGGUUAACUGAAUAAGGGAGCCGAAGGGAAACCGAGUCUUAACUGGGCGGUUAGUUGCAAGGUAUAGACCCGAAACCCGGUGAUCUAGCCAUGGGCAGGUUGAAGGUUGGGUAACACUAACUGGAGGACCGAACCGACUAAUGUUGAAAAAUUAGCGGAUGACUUGUGGCUGGGGGUGAAAGGCCAAUCAAACCGGGAGAUAGCUGGUUCUCCCCGAAAUCUAUUUAGGUAGAGCCUUGAGCGGACACCUUUGGGGGUAGAGCACUGUUUCGGCUAGGGGCCCAUCCCGGGUUACCAAACCGAUGCAAACUCCGAAUACCGAAGAGUGAUACUCAGGAGACACACGGCGGGUGCUAACGUCCGUCGUGGAGAGGGAAACAACCCAGACCGCCAGCUAAGGUCCCAAAAUCUAUAUUAAGUGGGAAACGAAGUGGGAAGGCUUAGACAGCUAGGAUGUUGGCUUAGAAGCAGCCACCAUUUAAAGAAAGCGUAAUAGCUCACUAGUCGAGUCGGCCUGCGCGGAAGAUGUAACGGGGCUAAAAUAUAGUACCGAAGCUGCGGCAUCAGUA
rnacentral:rRNA from 1 species